rnacentral:lncRNA from 1 species
AUUUGUUCUUUACAUUCUAAGAUGUGCAACAGUACUUGAGCAAAUGUUUCUCAGCCCUGGAUACAAGAGUGAGUUCUCUUUAGAGCAGGAAUUCGGUAUCGAACCUUUCAUUCGAUGAAGAAAAACGCAACUUAAUCCAACAGAGACUACAUGGACAAGCUAUCUCUGGGAAUGCUACGGUGAUCAUCCAAUAAGAUAUUGGACAAAUACUCUAUCGGAAAUCAAGGAUUUGCGUACACGCUACUUUUUCCGGACCUCACAUUUUGCUCUGUUAAUCAUUAGGGGGGUAGUUGAAGUGUGUAGAGUUUAUGGUAGUGCCUAUCUAUUUAUUAUUAAGUACUGUUUUUAGAGCUUUGUCUAUUGGGAAUUGCAUUUUAAGGAUUCUUUAUGUUCUAUCCUUCUUAAAUCCAACAUGUAUGGAUUACACACUCCAUUACUUCAUAAAAUUCAAGUUCAGUGGAAAUAGAAUAUUUAGUGGGGGUUUGACCAUGAAAACUAAAAUUUACAAAUGCAUAUGUAUCUGUCAGAACUCUGGUCCAAACAAAAUGGUUCAUUGACAGGUCUAUCUCUAGGACCAACCCUCUCACAAGUUCCAACAAAGUCUUGUCAGGCUUAACGUGGUCUGGUCAGUCUUGAUGAUGUUUGAAAUCCAGUUGAUGUCAUGCGAAAACUUAAAAGUUUGUUAGAGAAGCUAACCAAGUUGUGGACAAGCUAGCUACUGAAGAAGGCGUUUUCAUGGAAUACAUUUUUCUCCAUACCGAGUGUCAUUUUCACAAUGCGGAGUUUGGAUAUAUCUGACAAAUCAGUCAAUCAGUCAAAAGUUUGUAGGAGCAAAUUGCAUAUAAGUUACAUGAAUUAUAAACUGUACAAGUCAAUAAGGUGAAGCAACAAAGUCAAGUGCAAGUCAAUCUUUUCAAUAACAUGAUGUAGUAUAAUUUUUCUCCCUCAAUAAUUCUUUAUUUUUCAACCUUGAAAUUUCAUUUGAUGUCUCAAUCCAUAAGUUUGAUCUUCAAACAAUUGCCACUUCAAAAAAGAUUUAUUUUAUACUAAAUUAAUGAAUAUUUUACAUUUAUUUUAUCAUUUAUGCGCAUAGUUGACUCAUAUGCAUUUUGAUCUUGCUAUUUUUACUUCAUCAUUAUAAAUUCAUAUAGUUUGAUAUAGACAUUAAAAUGUGAUUAAACUUCUUGUCUAAAUGAAUCUAACUUGUAAAAGACCUUGCACCAAUUGAGAAACAAAUUUGUUGCAACUUGACACCUAUUAUCCGCUUUGGUCUAACAGACCUCAGAGAUUUGUCCCUUGAGCUACAUCAUCAUCGAGUCCAAAAGCGUGCAUACCAUGUAACCGAUUGUUAUUUCUUAUAAAUUCCUUCACUUCAUCUCACAUUUCAAUGCAAGAUUCGCUUGAGGUUCAUAUAUGCCCCUUCUUCAGAAACUUGCCAGCCUAAAAUUCUGUCUUUAGAACCUUCAUCUACACAAGUGGAGGAAUUUAGAAAAUGAGACACAUUUUUUCUUGUAGAAAAUGGCAUUGACAAAGUGUUUUGCACCCUAUUAUAUAUACAUAUAGUCAUUAUUUCCUUAUUUUACCAAAAAUAAGGAAAUAAUUUUGCCAAAAUUAGAUUUGUAUUGCAUAUAUAUUAUUUAUACAAUUUGUAUUACAGUAUUAUCAUACCUCUUAAUUUUACCAAAAAUAAGGAAUUUUGCGAAAUUGAAAAACAACAACCAACAUGAAAACAUUAAUUUACUUCUCCUCUUAUAUAUACUUUAGGAUUCUAGUUAAUAUUAUAAAUAUAAUAAUAUAAUAAUUGAAGAAAAUAAGUGAAAAGAUAAUUUUGUUUAUUGCAGAGAUUUUUAAUAAAGCUCAAAAAGUUUAAAUUACUUUUCUUAGGUUCUUACCACUUUUAAUAUACUGAAUAUAGAUAUAAAUUAUAAUUAUUUUAAAAAUAAGUCAUAAAAUGGCUAUUUGUGCACUUGUUCCUGUAAGUUUGGCCCAACAUAGAAACACCAUUCAUCACAAGUUAAAGGGUUGAUCAAUCCAACAUAUCAAAAUGGACAGUCCAUUUAAUUAGGGAAAAUGACACUUACAAAUGAGAUUAAUUUUUGCACCUGGUUAGUGGUUCAAGACAGUUGGGAUGAGCAACACUAGAUGUUUUUUCCUAUCUGUUCCAGACUUGGUGCCUGGUACUUGUGUUGCUGGUGUUAGAUGGUAGCCUGGUAGGUAUCCGGUGGCAGUGGCGGGGUCAAGAAUUUAGCAAAGGGUGUGCAAAUUUUCUUUUAAGGGUGUGCAAAAUUAAAUAUUUAUUCAUAAUAGCUAAUAUUUAACCUUUUGUAAAUCACGUAAUUACUCGACGAAGAGUGUUCAUCUUACCACCCUUCGUUUAAGGUGGCUCCGCCCAUGUCCAGUGAAUUUAGUCGAGGUGCGCGCAAUUUGGCUCGGAUACCAUGGUUAUCACACACACAAACAAAGAUUAGUACAACAUUGCUAGUAGCAGAGGCCUUAGUUUACAGUAGUAGCGUCGAAGCUAGUACUAGGAUUAGUAGCAUCUAAAAUAGAGCUAGAACUUGAUACAUUGAUUAUGCUAAGGCUUCCUAAGGUUGCUAGCAUAGUAGCAGUAGUUGCAGACACGAGUUUAGUAGUGGCUGCUCCUGAUGCAUUAACUUUCAGUGUCUUCAUAUGAUGUGCCAGUGGUGGAUCCAAAAUAUGUAGUUUAUCACUUGUAGAGAUGUUUAGUUUGCAACCGUUUUUAGCCAAAACAUCAGCCAGCAUAUGCGUUGCUUAAAAUUAUGCUGGACCUGCGGAUUCCCCAAUUCCUUCAAUCUUGACCUGCUUAAGUAGACAAGAUCUGUGUAUAGGGGAAGGAAAGUGGAGUUGAUGGAAGAGAUCAGUAGAAUCUGUUUCAAUUUCCACCAAGUUGAGAGUUUUUUCCUUAGCCAACCUGAGGCCCUGCUCUAAAGCUUGCAGUUCAGCCAUGGUUGGAGUAAGAGAGGUAUUUUUCAUAUAGAAACCAACCAACCAUUGUCCAGUUGAGUUCCGAAUGAUUCCUCUGAGGAUGGCAGUGAGAGUUGGAGAUUGAAAAGCCCCAUCAAUAUUAAGUUUGAGGCCUGUUGUAGGAGGGGGGUUCCACACAGUACGAACAGCAAUUUUAGCUGUUUGAGGGAUCUCAGCCGCAGAAAAAUAUAUUCAGAAGUACGCAUUAAGAUAUAGUUAUAGGAGAGGGGCUGAGGUUGAUUUUGUGCUCCGUUAAAGAGUGUCUGAUUUCUGUAAAUCCAUAUAUUCCAUAAUACAAAGGGGUAAAAGGGAAGCUGAUUGAGAGUGUCCUGAGACAUCUAAGGAGUGGGAGUGGGGAGAAUGGUCCAUUGGGGUUGGAGAUUGCGUAUCAACUUCGGGGCCACUGCAGGGCCAGUGGAUUUAGUACAUUCUCCAUCAUUGGUGAUGCAUGUAGGAAUCCAUAGAUAGUUUCAUGCCCCCCGUUAUGAGUUGGACUAGAAAGUUUGGGUUUUGUAUAUGAUCAUGGAGUUCACCCCGUUUAUGUCCAUCGUAAAGAACGCAGCUUUGUCUUUUAGAGCAUGUUUUAUCCAAGACUGCGUUUGUUGAAGUAGGUGGACUGUUUGUGUUGCAAACACCACUGCGUGUUCGGCCACUUGUUGGGAAGAUUGUAAGGAUUGUUGUUCAUGGUGGAAGAGGAGUGGGCGAUCCUGUUUCCAGUAAGUUUGAUAAUAAGGAAGUAUCACCAAGGUGCGUAUAACCAUUCCCUAUCUGCUGCAGUGAGUUCAGUGCUCUUAAUACCUUUAAUUAAAUUAUUUAUGUCCUCCUUAGCAGUAAAUGACUGGGGCAUUUGUUUGGAGAAUUUAAGGACAUGAGAAUCCAGUUGGAUUGGAGAUUCACUACACAUCAGUUUUGCUUUGAAAUUAAUUGCAGAGGAGUUAAGGAAGUCAGAGGUAGGUUUAUGAGUUGUUCUAUGUGUGGUGGUACUAUUUGUUGUUGCAGUGGAAAAAAAUUGUGCUUUCCAUAUGGUUCUAUGUGUGGUGUUACUGUCUGUUGAUGCAGUGGAAAAAAAUUGUGUUUUCUAUGUUGUUCUAUGUGUGGUGUUACUAUUGGUGGUUCUAAUGAAAAAACAAGUGUUUUCUAUGUUGUUCUAUGUAUGGUGUUUGUAUUUGUUGUUGUAAUGGAAAAAAGUUGUGUUUUUUGUGUUGUUCAGGAGGAGGAAAAGUGGUUUUGCCAUUGCUCGCAUUUGGAGGAAUUGCCCUUUGGAUUAAUUAUUACUACAGGAGAAGAACAAUAAUAAGUAACCAAGAAGAGGUAUGUGCAAAAUCUGAUCUUUAUGUGUUUGGAACAAAGAGUAUGCUAUACUAUGAUCCAUUAACCAAUGUACAUAUAUUUUUAGAUUUUUGAGGUUGAUGACACAAAGGAGGAUUGUUUGAGUAAGCUACCAGAUGAUGUUUUGUGCUCCAUUCUUGGAAAUUUGACAGUACGCGAUGCUGCUAGGACGAGCAUUUUAUCUACCAGGUGGAAAUAUGUGUUUGCCUCUACGCAACUACGACAGCAACAACCCACAUUUGAAUUCAGAUGCUCUGAUAUGUUGAGGAUUCACCCUGGUCAUUCUUGUUGCUCUUACUAUCAAGAAAAAGAAAAAUUCAUGAAUGGAUUAUACCAGUUUUUAAGACACAAUUCUGGUUGUAGAGGUGGCUCAUGUUCAGAUGGUCUGUUGCUUUGGGAGAGAGUUUCCUAGUGCAUUUACCCAUUGGUUCCAAUCUCUUUCUAGAAUAAGUGUUGAAAGCUUACACCUUUCCUUUGAGUGCAUUCUCGGUGACUUAAGCCAGUUGCUUACAUUUUCUCUUGAGGUUCUCUCUCAGUCAUCUUCACUGGAACAUUUGGUUUUACAAGGCUGUGUUGUGUUAUCAAGUCCCAAAGUCCGUUUUAAUUCUCUCAUGACUCUUACUUUGGGUGGUGUUGUGUUAAAUAGCGGACAUCUGGAGGGUAUUCUGUCCUCUUGUUCCAACCUUAAGAAGUUAACUAUUGUGGGCUGUAACCUUCCUUAUAAGCUACGACUCAGUGGUACAGUAAUGGAUGUUGUUAUUUGGGAGUGUGUCGGAGGGAAAGAAAUUGAUCUUCAUGCUGCACAUCUUCGUAUUCUUGAGUACAAGAUUAAUAACAAUGUAAGAUUUUUUUUCUCAUUUGUACCCGUGCUGGAAAAUGUAAUGGUUUGGCGUGACCUUCGGCAUUCAUAUUCAUACGAAUUUGGUGAUCGUGCAAGAGAUUUACCUGAUCAGGUUAAAUCUUUAACCCUCCAAUUUAUUCCUGAUCAGGUAUUAAUUUAACAUUGUCUUGUAUUCUCAAAGUUUAUUCUCAAAGUUUUCAACAUUCGUCAUUUUGAUGACCAUAAUCACUUGAGUUUUUUUCUCUAGAUAUAUCCUUCAUUUGAGAACCCAACAGAGAUGCAGAUGUUCAGAAACCUUAGGAGCUUAAUCUUGAAACUUGUGAGCAGUCUUGCAAUUGUAGAGCUAUUUGACCUAUCCAGACUCUUGGGUGAUUUUCCUCUGCUCCAAUCUUUGACUUUCGUGGUGAGUUAUCCAUGUUCAUCAUCUUCUUCUUUUCAUAAUUCUUAUAUUUUUUAUAUUCUUUUUCCAUGAACUAUCUUUAUAGAAAGGCACUUACGUUUUUAAGCUUAGAAUCUAUUCGCUUUGUGGUGAACUCUAGGUUUAUGCUUUAGUGAAUUGUUACGUUGAUGCAAAGUUGAUAGAAAUAUCAUGUGUUGUUAAGAGGUAACAACCAGUAGACCAUUCGUUUUGAUGAUUUUUGAAAUCCUAGAGGAUCAUACUUCACAAAUAGAAUUUACUUGAUCAUUCAUAAAACAAUGCGAAAGAGCAUUGAUUUUAUCAUAAUCUCUAGUUAGUUCAACUCUUCUAUCGGAAACAACCUCUCUACUUUGUAAGGUCUGGAUGUGCAGUUUUUUUAAUCAUCAUUUUGUAAAUUUUUUCUUGACUUCUGAUAAAAAAGUGUCACAUCAGUUUAGUUGGUACAUUGAAAAGUCUUAAAGAUAGAUUGCGAAGAUCUGCAAAUUGUAUGUUAAAACAUUACGCUUUAUAAACUACAGAAUGUCCAACCUUAUUGGUUGUUGAAUCUGAUAAAAAAGUGGCACAUCAGUUUAGUUGGUACAGUGAAAAGUCUUAAAGAUAGAUUGCGAAGAUCUGCAAUUGUUUGUUAAACUACAGAAAUGUCCAACCUUACUGGUCGUUGAAUCUGAUAACAAAGUGGCACAUCAGUUUAGUUGGUACAGUGAAAAGUCUUAAAGAUAGAUUGCGAAGAUCUGCAAAUUGUAUGUUAAAACAUUGUUUUAUAAACUACAGAAAUGUCCAACCUUACUGGUCAUUGAAUCAAACGCUCGAGUACCUUUUUCUUUUUGUUCAUUUGGUGAGAUCAACGACACAAUGAACUGCCAAGUAAUUAGUAAUAUUCCUUACAGUCCAUUGCUCUACUAAGUCGUAGUUGUAAUUAUUUAGCACUAUGUUGAUCUCAUUCUCAUUGUGAUCUUCAGGUGAUUAAGCUUCCGAUAACAAGGGAGAGAAGAAGAAAUCCUCCAUCUCCUACACGUCACACUGAACUAAAACAAGUGAGAUAAGGUGGAAUUAAUGGAUUAGAUACCGAGAUGGAAUUUGUUCUUUACAUUCUAAGAUGUGCAACAGUACUUGAGCAAAUGUUUCUCAGCCCUGGAUACAAGAGUGAAUUCUCUUUAGAGCAGGAAUUCGGUAUCGAACCUUUCAUUCGAUGAAGAAAAACGCAACUUAAUCCAACAGAGACUACAUGGACAAGCUAUCUCUGGGAAUGCUACGGUGAUCAUCCAAUAAGAUAUUGGACA